rnacentral:rRNA from 1 species
GAGUGAAGCGGCAACAGCUCAAAUUUGAAAUCUGGCCUAGGCCCGAGUUGUAAUUUGCAGAGGAUGCUUUUGGCGCGGUGCCUUCCGAGUUCCCUGGAACGGGACGCCACAGAGGGUGAGAGCCCCGUAUGGUCGGACACCAAGCCUCUGUAAAGCUCCUUCGACGAGUCGAGUAGUUUGGGAAUGCUGCUCAAAAUGGGAGGUAAAUCUCUUCUAAAGCUAAAUACCGGCCAGAGACCGAUAGCGCACAAGUAGAGUGAUCGAAAGAUGAAAAGCACCUUGAAAAGGGGGUUAAACAGUACGUGAAAUUGUUGAAAGGGAAGCGCUUGUGACCAGACUUGCGCCAGGCGGCUCAUCCGGCGUUCUCGCCGGUGCACUCCGCCUGGCACAGGCCAGCAUCGGUUCUUGCCGGGGGAUAAGAGCUCCGGGAACGUAGCUCCCUACGGGGAGUGUUAUAGCCCGCUGCACGAUACCCUGGCGGGGACCGAGGUUCGCGCUCCGCAAGGAUGCUGGCGUAAUGGUCAUCAGCGACCCGUCUUGAAACACGGACCAAGGAGUCGUCCAUUAGAGCGAGCGUUUGGGUGUAAAACCCGCACGCGUAAUGAAAGUGAACGCAGGUGAGAGCUUCGGCGCAUCAUCGACCGAUCCUGAUGUACUCGGAUGGAUUUGAGUAAGAGUUUUACUGGACGGACCCGAAAGACAGUGAACUAUGCCUGAAUAGGGUGAAGCCAGAGGAAACUCUGGUGGAGGCUCGCAGCGGUUCUGACGUGCAAAUCGAUCGUCAAAUUUGGGCAUGGGGGCGAAAGACUAAUCGAACUGUCUAGUAGCUGGUUACCGCCGAAGUUUCCCUCAGGAUAGCAGUGUUGAUCUUCAGUUUUAUGAGGUAAAGCGAAUGAUUAGGGACUCGGGGGCGCUUAUUAGCCUUCAUCCAUUCUCAAACUUUAAAUAUGUAAGAAGCCCUUGUUACUUAAUUGAACGUGGGCAUUCGAAUGUACCAACACUAGUGGGCCAUUUUUGGUAAGCAGAACUGGCGAUGCGGGAUGAACCGAACGCGGGGUUAAGGCGCCAGAGUGUACGCUCAUCAGACACC